CACAGGGGUGGCCCAUAGGCAGCCCUCGAUAAUGGUGGUUGCGUCCAAGAACGGCAGCCAGUGCCGCCUUUCUCCUCUUCCUCCCUCAUCCGGCUGCUGCCGGCCUCCCCAAGAAUCGAUCCCCGCUGGAGAGGAAGGCCAGCUGGUCCUUUCUUUCAUCGUGAGGACGGGGACCAGGGGGAAGGUUACAGCCAGUGACUGGUGAAGCCGGAAUUCGAAUCCAGCUCUCUGGGCUUCCUGCGCUCCCACACCCUCCGAGCAGGCUCCGCACUCACUGCCUGUCCGCAAACGCCAGGGCAGGCAGGCAGCCCACAGUCCCGCUUCCGCCCCUGUGCGUCUCCCGGCUUGAGGCCGGGCGUGUGCAGUCCAGGGAGCCCGGGCCGCCUGUGCCCAGCGGCCGGGAGAAAAUCGUGGCUCUCCCUCGCCCGUCCCCCACCCCCACUGCCCGCCUCCGCCACUGCCGGCAUGGCUGGCCCGCUGCCCCGGGAUGCGGUGCGUCAGGGCGCGCAGGUGAGGAGCCUCGGGCUCUGCGCAACCGUGCCCACCGAUGCCCGCGCUGCGCCAGGCGCAGGGACGAGCCGGCGCGCCCCGCUCCCAAUGCAGAGGUUGGUCCUCCCCCGCCCCUCUCCACCCCCAAGCCCGCGCGGUCCCUUCCCCCCACGCCCCUUCUCCAAAGGAAGGAAAUUUACUAGAGAGAGUCCGGGGGCACGGGACCGGGCUGGCUCUCCAGGGCGCGGGCAGCUGAGCCAUGCCCCCGCAGCUCGCCCUCCCAGUCGCCCUCCGGGGGCUGAGGCGCAUCUUUGUUCCGGCCUCCUCCUCCUUUCCUCCCCCCACCCCACCUGUGAUCCCGCAGCGCCCGGGACCUAACUCUGGGCUCCUCUCCCCAAGCCGAGGACUACAUCUUUAAAAAAAAAAAAAAAAAUGAAAGGCAGCCACAUGACAAAGCUUUAUUGCGCUCAAUGACACCCAAGCGGGCCGGCCAGGUUCGCGGGCAGGGGCCCCCUGUGCGGCCGAGGCUCCGAGCAGCCCCUGGCGUGCUCCCCGGCCUCGUGCCCGGCUCUCUGCCGCCCGCAAUCUUGCUGUAAUGUGCCCUGCGUGGGUUCCCCCCCCCCUUCUUCCCCUCCCCUUUGCAGAAGUCUGCAGAUGGAGUCAGGGGAGGGAGCAUAAACAUCUCCCCCGCAUUGACACCGGCCUCCGAGCCCAAGGGGGUGCUCCCCGUGGUCCUCCUCCUGGUUUUCGAGCAUCCCCAUUUAAAGGCUAUGCCGUAUUUCAGCCUUUCCCCCCGCCGUCGGCCAGAGGGCUCGAGAGGGGGAGGGGAACGUCCAUCUCUCCCUCCCCAUUCUUGUUUUUACUCUGGAUGUUACUGCAGCGGCACCGAGGUGACAGGAGCGCUCCGUAGCUCCUCCGAGCCCGGGCUGCUCUCCGAGGCAGGGGAUGCCCCCCGGCCACGCCGCUGGGGACUCGCUCGGCUCCCGGAGGGCUGAGAGGCGGCCUUCGGAAUCCCCAUUUUUUAAAAGUUGUUUAACUACAUUCUUCCGAUGACUGGCAGAAUGACUGCCUGAGAGCGGGAGAGCAGGGACAGUGUGUGGCAGCCUCUAGGAAGUUAGGACCAGAAAGGAAGGCGGGAGGGGUCUAGCAAAGGCGCAGCAGCAUCUCCCAGGACUCCUGGAAUGGUUCAGAGCAGUUCAAUUGGACACAAGUUUGCCCGGGAGUGUUUUCCUUUUGUCAAUAAUUAAUCACUGGAAUCAGCCUGGCAAGACUGGAGUUUUAAAAACAGUGCAGAGGGUGAGGCAGGAGAAACACCUCGGGCUGAUCAAUCCAUCGGUAACUCCAAGCAGGAGGAAGCCAGUAUCCACACUGCUCAUCAGCCCACAGGCAGUCCACUGGGAGCAAGAGAAUGAAAGGGACUGUGGGACUUCAAAGGCUUUGCCAAUGGAGAAUAAACUAAAGCAGGUCCUACCAGACUGGGAAGACUUCAAAUGAAGGCCUAGAAACAGCCUGGAAAAAUCAGAAGAGGCAUAUCACCAGAAGGUUGGCCAACAGAUGAGGAAUUUGUUUUGGCCACAGCAGCUCAGGAAACUAGCUCUUAAGAUCCAACCGACUGCUGCUGGCUGACAUGAUGAAUCUACGGUACGUGAAGGAUUACUUUGCCUGGCUCUAUUACCAGUACACCAUCAUCAGCUGCUGCGCUGUCCUGGAACCCUGGGAACGAUCCAUGUUCAACACCAUCUUCCUCACGAUCGUGGGAAUGGUAGUGUACACGGCCUACGUCUUCAUCCCCAUCCACAUACGUCUGGCUUGGGAAUUCUUUUCGGAAAUCUUUGGAGACCAAAGUACUGCUUCUGCCUCUAAUUGAAAUUGCUCAACACCGAGAGGGAAGGGCCUCUGCACUCUGUGAAGUUCUAUUACGUAAUGAUAUUGUCGCUUAGGCGUUUCUGAUUCGUGUGAACAUUGCACCUUCUUGAAACAUCUGACCUGAAAAACAGACUCUUAUCUAUGCACUACUCUACACUUUCUGGGUUUGAAAAGAUUACUUACUGAUCACAAGUACCCACAAUGCAAAUUUCUCCAUAAGAAAAAUACUUUUCACAUUCUAAAGGCUUUCAAAAAGAAAUAUUAGAACUGUCUGUUCCUCAAAUCCAUGAUUUCAAAUCUAUUUUCUAUCAGAACAAUUUCUUAUUUAAGUCUGUCUGGUAAGCAACAGGGACAGGCACUUAUGAAAGAGAUAGGAAAGAGAGGUUUGGGGUACUAAAAGAGAAGAGUAAAUGAUAUUUUUGUAAGAAAUGAUGCAGGAUAGGUAUUGUCUAUUCUGUUUGACGGCGUAUGAGAGAUAUGUGCCCAAUUACAGGAGCACCUCAAGGCAGCAUCUCCUGGGAAGCUGCCCAUUUCUUCCAAUGGUUUCCCCUCCAUCAUAUAAGAAGGGUUUAAGGCAUCUAUACCUUUACAGAAAACACCUCGUGUAAUCUUUCCCCCCAAAAGCAUGACCAACACUGGGGUCGUAGUAGUUUAAAAUCAACGAUGUUGGUUUUCCUGAAACAUGGAAUAAUUGUAAUUCAAGGUAACUGUGAGCACAAGAAACAGACUCUGAUCAAAGCCAAUUCAGCUACCAUGUCUUCCAAAGUUGUCUUGCCUUGCAUGUUACUACAUAAAUAAAUUUUAAUUUAAAAAAAUCAAAUUGCUUUCUUGUCAUGCUAACACUCAGAGCAAGAAAAGCAUGUGUUUGGGGGCUAUAGGAGGACAAGCUGAUAAAUAGACUGGAAGUAAUAUUCUCACAGCAGGAAGCCUACAGCUCCAACUAAAAGCUUUAAUACAGUGGCUCUAUUGCAGCAGCAAUGAAAUUUAUUAAAUCAUCUUGGAAUGUUUAUUACAGAAAUGAGUUUCUAAUUGUAUUGCUGACUCAAAUGUGAAUGCCAAAGAAUAUGCUUUGUACCUUUUUUUUUUUUCCUUUACUGACAUGCAUUAGUAUUGACGGAAGGGGAGAUGUAAAUAGUGUUUGGACAAUUCCGACAUAUCAGGGAGAAAUUAUUUAUUUGGGAGAGCUCGGGACAGUAAAAUGUUCUGUGUUCAAAGGAAGGAUUUUUGUAUUUGUCAAAAAUAUGGGCAUGUGCUGAAAGUGACCCAGUUCUGAACAGAUAGAUUGAUUGUUUUUUGAAAAAAAUAAAUGUUAGUUUAGUUGUUGUUGUUGUUGUUGUUCUUACGUUAGCAUCUUGAUUUGUAUUUUGUUUUUCUUGCUUUGAGAAACUUAAAAUGUGUUUGAUUUUCCCUGAUCUGAUCUUCUCUGGUUUAUUGUCUUAUAUCUGAAAUCUUAUAUCAUAUAUAUAUACACAUAAAUAUAUAUAUGAUAUAGCUUAUAUCUGGAUAAUGUGAAAUUUCUCUUAACAGAAUUCAAUAGUGAAAAGUCUAAUCCAAAC
rnacentral:lncRNA from 1 species